rnacentral:sRNA from 1 species
UAGAGGCAGCAGAGACAGGAAUGGAGCCAAGGCGACGGAGGUGGGAGGCA